rnacentral:rRNA from 1 species
AUACCGGCGUCCCGAGUGGCGGCCACUAUUAUUGGGCCUAAAGCGUCCGUAGCCGGCCCAGUAAGUCCCCCGGGAAAUCUGGUCGCUCAACGAUCAGACUUCCGGGGGAUACUGCUGGGCUAGGGACCGGGAGAGGCCGAGGGUAUUCCCGGGGUAGGGGUGAAAUCCUGUAAUCCCGGGAGGACCACCUGUGGCGAAGGCGCUCGGCUGGAACGGGUCCGACGGUGAGGGACGAAGGCCUGGGGAGCGAACCGGAUUAGAAACCCUAGUAGUCC